GAUGAACGCUAGCGGCAGGCCUAACACAUGCAAGUCGAGGGGUAGAGGAAGCUUGCUUCCUUGAGACCGGCGCACGGGUGCGUAACGCGUAUGCAAUCUACCUUUUACAGAGGGAUAGCCCAGAGAAAUUUGGAUUAAUACCUCAUAGUAUUUUCGAAUGGCAUCAUUUGAUUAUUAAAGUUCCAACGGUAAAAGAUGAGCAUGCGUCCUAUUAGCUAGAUGGUAAGGUAACGGCUUACCAUGGCAACGAUAGGUAGGGGUCCUGAGAGGGAGAUCCCCCACACUGGUACUGAGACACGGACCAGACUCCUACGGGAGGCAGCAGUGAGGAAGAUGGGACAAUGGGCGCAAGCCUGAUCCAGCCAUGCCGCGUGCAGGAAGACGCAUCUAUGGUGUGUAAACUGCUUUUGUACGGGAAGAAACACUCCCUCGUGAGGGAGCUUGACGGUACCGUAAGAAUAAGGAUCGGCUAACUCCGUGCCAGCCGCCGCCGUAAGAC
rnacentral:rRNA from 1 species